UACGGGGGGGGGUAAGCGUUGUUCGGAAUUACUGGGCGUAAAGGGCUCGUAGGCGGCCAACUAAGUCAUACGUGAAAUCCCUCAGCUUAACUGGGGAACUGCGUGUGAUACUGGAUGGCUUGAAUCCGGGAGAGGGAUGCAGAAUUCCAGGUGUAGCGGUGAAAUGCGUAGAUAUCUGGAGGAAUACCGGUGGCGAAGGCGGCAUCCUGGCCGGCAUUGACGCUGAGUGAGCGAAAGCCAGGGGAGCAAAGCGGG
rnacentral:rRNA from 1 species